AGAGUUUGAUCCUGGCUCAGGACGAACGCUGGCGGCGUGCUUAACACAUGCAAGUCGAACGGAAAGGCCCUUCGGGGUACUCGAGUGGCGAACGGGUGAGUAACACGUGGGUGAUCUGCCCUGCACUUUGGGAUAAGCCUGGGAAACUGGGUCUAAUACCGAAUAUGACCAUGCACUUCCUGGUGUGUGGUGGAAAGCUUUUGCGGUGUGGGAUGGGCCCGCGGCCUAUCAGCUUGUUGGUGGGGUAAUGGCCUACCAAGGCGACGACGGGUAGCCGGCCUGAGAGGGUGACCGGCCACACUGGGACUGAGAUACGGCCCAGACUCCUACGGGAGGCAGCAGUGGGGAAUAUUGCACAAUGGGCGCAAGCCUGAUGCAGCGACGCCGUGUGAGGGAUGACGGCCUUCGGGUUGUAAACCUCUUUCAGCACAGACGAAGCGCAAGUGACGGUAUGUGCAGAAGAAGGACCGGCCAACUACGUGCCAGCAGCCGCGGUAAUACGUAGGGUCCGAGCGUUGUCCGGAAUUACUGGGCGUAAAGAGCUCGUAGGUGGUUUGUCGCGUUGUUCGUGAAAACUCACAGCUUAACUGUGGGCGUGCGGGCGAUACGGGCAGACUUGAGUACUGCAGGGGAGACUGGAAUUCCUGGUGUAGCGGUGGAAUGCGCAGAUAUCAGGAGGAACACCGGUGGCGAAGGCGGGUCUCUGGGCAGUAACUGACGCUGAGGAGCGAAAGCGUGGGGAGCGAACAGGAUUAGAUACCCUGGUAGUCC
rnacentral:rRNA from 1 species